UCCUCGAUAGCUCAAUGGUAGAGCAGGAUCCUGUUAAGAUCAAGGUUCUAGGUUCGAGUCCUAGUCGAGGAG
rnacentral:tRNA from 1 species